UUAUUGGGUAUCAAAACCUAAUAGCGAAAUUAACAUAACUUUUAUGGGAUUAGUUUUUAGAUUAUUUAUAGUCUAUUAAUUCAAUCCCGGGGCGUUCUAUAUAGUUAUGUAUAAUAAUAUUUAUAUUAUUUAUACCUCUAACUAGAGCGUACCUUGAGCAUAUAUGCUGUGACCCGAAAGAUGGUGAACUAUACUUGAUCAGGUUGAAGUCAGGGGAAACCCUGAUGGAAGACCGAAACAGUUCUGACGUGCAAAUCGAUUGUCAGAAUUGAGUAUAGGGGCGAAAGACCAAUCGAACCAUCUAGUAGCUGGUUCCCUCCGAAGUUUCCCUCAGGAUAGCUGGUGCAUUUAAAUAUUAUGUAAAAUAAUCUUAUCUGGUAAAGCGAAUGAUUAGAGGCCUUAGGGUCGAAACGACCUUAACCUAUUCUCAAACUUUAAAUGGGUAAGAACCUCACCUUUCUUGGUAUGAAGGUUGUGGUUGUGAUAUAAUGUGCCCAGUGGGCCACUUUUGGUAAGCAGAACUGGCGCUGUGGGAUGAACCAAACGUAAUGUUACGGUGCCCAAAUUAACAACUCAUGCAGAUACCAUGAAAGGCGUUGGUUGCUUAAAACAGCAG
rnacentral:rRNA from 1 species